rnacentral:rRNA from 1 species
GUUAUCGUUUAUUUGAUAGUACCUUUCUACUUGGAUACCUGUGGUAAUUCUAGAGCUAAUACAUGCUAAAAACCUCAACUUCGGAAGGGGUGUAUUUAUUAGAUAAAAAACCAAUGCCCUUCGGGGCUCCUUGGUGAUUCAUAAUAACUCAACGAAUCGCAUGGCCUUGCGCCGGCGAUGGUUCAUUCAAAUUUCUGCCCUAUCAACUUUCGAUGGUAGGAUAGUGGCCUACCAUGGUUUCUACGGGUGAAAAAUCCGUUGCCCGUAGGCACGAUCGUUGGGGGAACGGCUCGCGGGCCCUCCCUCGGCGACACCGCUGGCUCCGAAGACGCCUCACGGGGGGGCUGAUUCGGGGGCGAGCUCCACGCGGGAGCCGCCCGAACGCAUGCAAAGCGGUGGGCCUCGUUUAACCCCGAGGCUUUUGGUCCAUGCUACCGCCCGGCCUCUGGCGUCGGGUAGGAGAAAUGAACGGGGAUUAGGGGUUCUAUUCCGGAGAGGGAGCCUGAGAAACGGCUACCACAUCCAAGGAAGGCAGCAGGCGCGCAAAUUACCCAAUCCCGACACGGGGAGGUAGUGACAAUAAAUACUGAUACAGGGCUCUUUUGGGUCUUGUAAUUGGAAUGAGUACAAUUUAAAUCCCUUAACGAGGAACAAUUGGAGGGCAAGUCUGGUGCCAGCAGCCGCGGUAAUUCCAGCUCCAAUAGCGUAUAUUAAAGUUGUUGCAGUUAAAAAGCUCGUAGUUGAAACUUGGCCCUGGCUGACCGGUCCGCCUCACCGCGUGCACUGGUUCGGCCGGGGCUUUCCUUCUGGGGAUCCGCAUGGCCUUCAUUG